GGCCAAAAAUGGAAAAACACGGCUAGAUAAAAUGAACGCGGCUUCAUUAUUUAUAUAAGGCCGUGUAGGUUCAUAAAGUAAGGUGGUGCUACUUACAACAGACAGAAUUUCUUUCUAUUUACGUCGUAAGAAAGUUUGUAAAAUCUACUGUUCUUGUUGAAAUUGGCAAAAGUGAUCCGUGAUGUUUUAAUAUUUUGAUGGAAAAUGGAAACCGUAUAGUCUGUACGGUAUUAAAGUGGUUUUAAAUACCCCUAGGAUUUGCUGAAAUAACUUAAUAUUUUAAUGCCAGUGCGCAAUAUGAGCGUAUGCUUGCCUUGUAUUUAGUUGCAAAGCAUAGAACAACCACAGGAAUAUUGUCCCUUGUUGUAGAACCUUUAAUUUGGCUAUUCAAGGUAAUUGACAUGUGCACACCCUGGUCAUUUAGAAACACGCCCAAGAUCUAUAAUCCUAGCUAAUAUCCUGGAUGG